rnacentral:lncRNA from 1 species
CUGCACCACCCAAUAUCAAUGCUAAUGUAUGUGAUGGCGAUAGUCCUUGAAACACAACGAUAACCGAAUGUCGAUGGCUCGCCUCACACAAUCCUCCUCAAAAUCAGUGAUAUCAAAUACACUCUGUCAAUAACUAAUAUUAAAAAAUACUAUGCAAAUUAAAUAUUCAUAAUAUAAUUUAUUUUACCUAUAAGUGAGCGUAGAAAAUCUCUCUCUAAGCCGGU